rnacentral:rRNA from 1 species
AAGUCGUAACAAGGUUUCCGUAGGUGAACCUGCGGAAGGAUCAUUAUCAAAAGUCAAGUCGGGGGCUGUAAAGCUCUCGUCUACACCCAUGUCUUUUGCGUACUCUUGUUUCCUCGGUGGCGCAAGCUGCCGAUUGGACAAACCAAAACCUUUUUUGUAAUUGCAAUCAGCGUCUGAAAAUAAUCUAAUUAUUUACAACUUUCAACAACGGAUCUCUUGGUUCUGGCAUCGAUGAAGAACGCAGCGAAAUGCGAUAAGUAGUGUGAAUUGCAGAAUUCAGUGAAUCAUCGAAUCUUUGAACGCACAUUGCGCCCCUUGGUAUUCCAUGGGGCAUGCCUGUUCGAGCGUCAUUUGUACCCUCAAGCUUUGCUUGGUGUUGGGGGUCUAGUCGUAUUACGACUCGCCUUAAAUUCAUUGGCAGCCGGCACUUUGGCCUAGGAGCGCAGCCCAUUUUGCGAUCGUAGCCCGUUGUACUGGCGUCCAUCAAGAACAUUUACCUCGUUUGACCUCGGAUCCAGGUAGGGACACCUGGUUGGAACGUUAA